GACGCUGGGUGUGUGGGCGCAGAUGGCGGCGGCGCACGGCGCCUGAGCGGGCCGGGGCCAUGAGCGCCGCCCGGCCCCAGUUCAGCAUUGAUGAUGCCUUCGAGCUGUCCCUGGAGGACGGGGGCCCUGGGCCCGAGUCCAGCGGGGUCGCGCGCUUUGGGCCGCUGCACUUCGAGCGUCGGGCCCGGUUCGAGGUGGCUGACGAGGACAAGCAGUCCCGGCUGCGCUACCAGAACCUGGAGAACGAUGAGGAUGGAGCCCAGGCCUCUCCGGAGCCGGAUGGGGGAGUCGGCACCAGGGAUUCCAGCCGAACUUCCAUCCGCAGCUCCCAGUGGUCCUUCAGCACCAUCAGCAGCAGCACCCAGCGCUCCUACAACACCUGCUGCAGCUGGACCCAACACCCUUUGAUCCAGAAGAACCGCCGAGUGGUGCUGGCCUCCUUCCUGCUCCUGCUGCUGGGGCUGGGGCCUGCUCAGUGCCUUGCUCUGGAAACAGAGCUUGGUGAGCUUCCUGGGGAGGGUCUCUGCCUAGGGCACCUUCAGCUCAGGUGGUGGGUGAGCCGGGCUGGGGGUGGGAGCCCCCGCCCUCACCACUGCUCCUGCCCCCACCCCCGCGGCUCCGUCUGUGUGCAGUGCUGAUCCUGGUCGGCGUGGGACUGGAGGCGACCCCCUCUCCAGGUGUCUCCAGCGCCAUCUUCUUCGUGCCGGGCUUCCUGUUGUUGGUGCCUGGAGUCUAUCACGUGAUCUUCAUCUACUGCGCGGUCAAGGGCCACCGGGGCUUCCAGUUCUUCUACCUGCCCUACUUCGAGAAGUGAUCGCGGCGCAGCGUGGACCCCUUGCGCCCAUGGGGGCGCCCCUCUUGCCCUGUUCCGUUCCCCUCAUCUCAAGGGAAGAGGCCCUCCAGGACCCUCGAAACCCCAGCCCCUAGGGAGUUUGCUCAGGAAGUUCGGGGCAUGCAGGCCUGGCCCUGGGAAAGCCGCCCGUCGCCUGCUCUGUGCCUUAACUUAUUCUCGGGCCGUGCGGCUGCUAGGUUGCUGUUAUUUUGUGCUAAUAAAAGAGUAAUUAAUUCCACCAGAGGCAAUUGCUCUCCUCCUGUCCUGCCACUGCUAGCCCAGCCCACCAGCCUGACCACAGCCCCCCUCCCAAGGACUGACCCUGACGCUGAAGGGCUUCGAGCACCACCGAACGCGUGGCAGCCCUGAUGCUGAGGCUUGCCCAAGGGCACGGGGCAUGUUAGGGGCAGAGCUGGGCGUAGGACUCCUGCCUUGCCAGCCAGGAGCCGGCCGGAACAGCCUGCCCCACCCCCAGCCCUUGGAUGACUCAACCAGCCCGUCUCUGUCUGGUGGCCCUGGCCGAGGGCACGCAGAGAUGACGCAGGCCUGGGACCUGGAGGCUGGUAUCCUAGUUCCAGCCUGGCUCUGGGGCCCUGGGCUGCCACAGCCAGCCCUGAAUGUGGGCCAUGUCAAGGCAAUGGCCCAGCCCCCUCCACCCACUGCCCUCCUUCCCAGUCCCAGAGGUUGGGAGAACCUGGGGGCAGAGGGCAUAGGAAGCCGCGCCUGACAGACACCCUCAGUGGUCAAAGACUUAGAAAUGCAGAACGUUAGAAACAAACCAUCUCAGAAUUUUGGAACAUCAGCAUUUCAGAAUCUUACGAAACAAGAAACAGAAUCUUUGAGAAACCUGAAAUCUGAGAUCAUAGUAGCUACCAGUUAUCAAUUUGUUGAAAGACCCCAGGAUGGCCGGGCACGGUGGCUCAAGCCUGUAAUCCUAGCACUUUGAGAGGCCAAGGUGGGAGGAUCGCUUGAGCCCAGGAGUUCGCGACCAACCUGGACAACAUGGCGAGAACCCAUCUCUAUUUAAAAAAAAAAAAAGAAAAGAAAAUAUACUAGGCCCUGCGCUAAGCACUGAACACGGGUUAUAUCUUGUAAUCUUCACUACCUCCGUCCCAUUUUACAGAUAAGGACUGACUCACCCAAGGACAGCCAGCAGGUGGUAGGUAGAAUUAGGAACGUAGCCCAGGGCUCUUCCCAUGACACUGUCGGGGAGGGAGAAGGAAACCGGCACUGAGCUGGUCUCCCCUACCGGCCAACCAAGAGGCUGGCUGAGUGAGCAAGGGUUGGGAGGCCCUGUUGGUGCACCUGCCCGUACUGUCUAUCUCCCCCACCAAAACACGGGUCCCACAAACCACUGUCUGCAGCACCCAACACAGCGGGGCCUUCAGGAUUCUGAGUUAGAGGAAUGGACACCCAGACUCUUGCUCUCGCUCCCACCUUUCCAGGCCCCGCAGACUUCCCACCCUCAUCCCCCAUUCAAGGCACUUAGGGGGCACCCAUUGGAUGCAGGAACUCCUAAACCAGUGGUCCCCCAACUAGCUAUGGUAAAGGACCAGUUUUCAUUUCUAAUCCAUCACGGUCCAGUACUUUCAUAAGAAGAACUAGCCGGGUGCCGUGCCUCAUGCCUGUAAUCCCAGCACUUUGAGAGGCCACGGUGGGAGGAUCACUUGAGCCCAGGAGUUCGAGACCAACCUGGGAAACAUGGGAAAACCCCAUCUCUACAAAAAAUACAAAAACUUAGCCAGGCAUGGUGGGGCGCCUGUAGUCCCACCCACUUGCGAGGCUGGAGUGGGAGGAUCACGGAGCCUGGGAGGCUGCAGUGGAGUCAUGAUUGCACCACUGCACUCCAGCCUGGAAGACAGACUGAGACCUAUUUAAAAAAUAAAUAAAUAAAUAACAUAAAAAUUUUAAAAACUAGAAAAAUGAAAUAAAAAACAUACAGAGGCUGGGCGUGGUGGCUCAUGCCUGCAAUCCCAGCACUUUGGGAGGCCGAGGCAGGUGAAUCAUGAGGUCAGGAGUUCGAGACCAGCCUGGCCAACAGGGUGAAAUCCCAUUUCUAUUAAAAAUACAAAAAAAUUACCGGGCAUGGUGGUGCGCACCUGUAAUCCCAGCUACUCAGGAGGCUGAGGCAGGAGAAUCGCUUGAACCCGGGAGGCAGAGGUUGCAGUGAGCCGAGAUCACGCCACUACACUCCAGCCUGAGCGACAGAGCGAGACUCUGUCUCCAAAAAAAAAAAAAAUACAGAAUACAAGUCCACAGUUUAUCAGAUUAAUUAGACAUAAAAUUACAUUUCAAUAAAUAUAAUCAGAACAAACAUAGGAAAAAGGAAAAAUGACAAAAACCAUUGAAUAUGAACAAACAGGCAAUUAACACAGAAUCGCAGCUAACAACUUUUUACUCCUUGUUUUUUUUUUUUUUGUUUUUUUUUUGAGACGAGUCUCACUGUCUCCCAGGCUGGAGUGCAGUGGCCCGAUCUCGGCUCACUGCAUCCUCUGCCUCCCGGUUUAAGCGAUUCUCAUGCCUCAGCCUUCUCAGUAGCUGCGACUACAGGCACAUGCCACCAUGCCCAGCUAAUCUUUGUAUUUUUAGUAGAGACAGGGUUUCACUAUGUUGGCCAGGCUGGUCUCCAACCCCUGAGCCACCUCGCCCGACUUCAUUCUACAGUCUUAACAGAAAGCAAUUUCAGAAGUGGUGAUUCCCAUCAUUAGAAGUCUGCGUUAGGAAUCAGCAAGGUAUAGUCCACAGAGUGGUUUUUAUAUUUUGUAAUGGUUGGAGAAAAGUCAAAGAAUAAUAAGAUUUUAUGACAUAAAAUUAUAUAAAAUUCAAAUUUCCAUGUCAAUAAAUGAAGUUUUACUGUUAUUUAUUAAAAUUUCUGAUAUAGCCACA